AUUGAACGCUGGCGGCAUGCCUUACACAUGCAAGUCGAACGGCAGCACGGGUGCUUGCACCUGGUGGCGAGUGGCGAACGGGUGAGUAAUAUAUCGGAACGUACCGUAUUGUGGGGGAUAACGCAGCGAAAGCUGUGCUAAUAACGCAUAAUCCCAAAGGGGGAAAGCGGGGGACCGUAAGGCCUAGCGCAAUUAGAGCGGCCGAUACCUGAGUAGCUUGUUGGUGAGGUAAAGGCUCACCAAGGCAACGAUCAGUAGCUGGUCUGAGAGGACAAUCAGCCACACUGGGACUGAGACACGGCCCAGACUCCUACGGGAGGCAGCAGUGGGGAAUUUUGGACAAUGGGGGCAACCCUGAUCCAGCAAUGCCGCGUGAGUGAAGAAGGCCUUCGGGUUGUAAAGCUCUUUUGUCAGGGAAGAAACAGCAGCUCUAACACAGUAUGCGAAUGACGGUACCUGAAGAAUAAGCACCGGCUAACUACGUGCCAGCCGCCGCAGUAA
rnacentral:rRNA from 1 species